UACGAAGGGGGCUAGCGUUGCUCGGAAUUACUGGGCGUAAAGCGCACGUAGGCGGCUUGUUAAGUCAGGGGUGAAAUCCUGGAGCUCAACUCCAGAACUGCCUUUGAUACUGAGGAUCUUGAGUUCGGGAGAGGUGAGUGGAACUGCGAGUGUAGAGGUGAAAUUCGUAGAUAUUCGCAAGAACACCAGUGGCGAAGGCGGCUCACUGGCCCGAUACUGACGCUGAGGCACGAAAGCGUGGGAGCAAACAGGG
rnacentral:rRNA from 1 species